GAUGAACGCUAGCUACAGGCUUAACACAUGCCAGUCGCGGGGCAGCAUGGGGGUUGCUUGCAAUCCCCGAUGGCGACCGGCGCACGGGUGAGUAACGCGUAUCCAACCUGCCCUUCACCACGGGAUAACCCGGCGAAAGUCGGACUAAUACCGUAUGUUGUCCAUUGACGGCCUCCGAUUUGGCCGAAAGGCUUGGCGGUGAGGGAGGGGGAUGCGUCCGAUUAGCCAGACGGCGGGGUAACGGCCCACCGUGGCUACGAUCGGUAGGGGUUCUGAGAGGAAGGUCCCCCACACUGGAACUGAGACACGGUCCAGACUCCUACGGGAGGCAGCAGUGAGGAAUAUUGGUCAAUGGGCGUAAGCCUGAACCAGCCAAGUAGCGUGCAGGAUGACGGCCCUAUGGGUUGUAAACUGCUUUUAUGCGGGGAUAAAGUGGCCCACGUGUGGGCUUUUGCAGGUACCGCAUGAAUAAGGACCGGCUAAUUCCGUG
rnacentral:rRNA from 1 species